CCUACGGGAGGCUGCAGUGGGGAAUAUUGCACAAUGGGGGAAACCCUGAUGCAGCGACGCCGCGGGAGUGAAGAAGGAAGGCGGGAGGUAAAGCUCUAGCAGCAGGGAAGAAAAGGACGGUACCUGAGGAAGAAGCCCCGGCGAACUACGUGCCAGCAGCCGCGGUAAUACGGAGGGGGCAAGCGUUAUCCGGAUUUACUGGGUGUAAAGGGAGCGUAGACGGCAGGGCAAGUCUGGAGUGAAAGGCGGGGGCUCACCCCCCGGACUGCUCGGGAAACUGUACGGCGGGAGUGCAGGAGAGGUACGUGGUCUUCCUCGUGUAGCGGUGCACUGCGUAGAUCUUCGGAG
rnacentral:rRNA from 1 species